UACGUGAGGGUGCAAGCGUUGUCCGGAAUUAUUGGGCGUAAAGAGCUCGUAGGCGGUUUGUCGCGUCGAAUGUGAAAACCCGGGGCUCAACCCCGGGCCUGCAUUCGAUACGGGCAGACUAGAGUUCGGUAGGGGAGUCUGGAAUUCCUGGUGUAGCGGUGAAAUGCGCAGAUAUCAGGAGGAACACCGGUGGCGAAGGCGGGACUCUGGGCCGAUACUGACGCUGAGGAGCGAAAGCCAGGGGAGCGAACGGG
rnacentral:rRNA from 1 species